UGCACCUCCUGUCUGGAAGACUAGUGAUUUUGUUGUUCUGUUAUGUGGGAAACAAGAAAUCACUAUCUUCGGACAGUGGGCUGCC
rnacentral:pre_miRNA from 1 species